rnacentral:rRNA from 1 species
AUACGGAGGGUGCAAGCGUUAUCCGGAUUCAUUGGGCGUAAAGCGCCUGUAGGUUGUUUAAUAAGUCUGUUGUUAAAGACUAGGGCUUAACCCUAGAAAAGCAAUGGAAACUACUAGACUAGAGUAUGGCAGGGGUAGAGGGAAUUUCUAGUGUAGCGGUGAAAUGCGUAGAUAUUAGAAAGAACACCGGUGGCGAAAGCGCUCUACUGGACCAUUACUGACACUCAGAGGCGAAAGCUAGGGUAGCAAAAGGGAUUAGAAACCCUAGUAGUCC